AGCACCCUGUGAAACCCCUCCACCCGACCCAAUUGACUGGCACCCAGCUCAAGCCGGUCUCUAGCCCAGUCCAAAAUUGACUGAGGUGUUGCCCGGUAUGUCACAGCCCGCGCCCGGAAUUUUUAAUUCCGAGGACAUGAAAUUACGGAAAUGUCCCUAAUACGUGACUAAGGUAUAAUUUUCACGUUCGUUAUAUCUAAGCUCCAAAAAAAUUUGGUAAUUGGAGUGGAGACUUAGACUUAAAUUUUAUGAUGGAAUUUUAUGAAAUUGGGAUUGGUUUGGACAUGUGGGAUCCCCACACCUCAAAACCCUCCCCAUUUCCCGUAUACUGUCCUUCAUACUCUCUCUCUUCCUCAGCUCUUCCUCAGAAACUCUCAUUCUCUCUCUUCUUCUCGAACGCACGGGCAACCACCAAAACCACCUAAAACCUAUACCAACGUUCCAUUUAAGACCACCAUCGUGAUCCUGGGGACUUCACGAGCACGGGGAUACCAAUUUCAGGUGAGUUUCACUUCGAAAACCCUAGUUCUAAAGUUGCCGUGAGAUGACACUGUUCAUGAGCUUUGAAUUGGUUACGUUUUAGGCUAAAACAAGAUCACAGCGAGUUUAGUAAGGUCCCAAGGAAGCUCGGAGUGCUUCGUUGGAAGUUUUUGGACGUAAGAACACGGAGAUCGACAAGUUCAAAGUUUGGCCGGAGCUUUCGAGGCGUUUUCCGGCGAAUCCCCGGAGAGUUAGGAGUCGAGGUAGGUGUCAAUCUCUUCGUCUCGUCAAGUACUACAACUUUCCUUUUUUGUUUCACUCAAUUUCGUUGAGUAUUGAAGAAGUUAUACUCAUUUUGAAAAAUACCCAGUUUCCGGCGACCUCCGAGGCUUUCGAGGCCGUUUCCGGCCAAACCACGGCGAACUAGGUGUUGUGCAAGGUACCAUUCUCUUUGUCUCUUCAAGGGCUACAACUUUCGUUUUUGAAUCACUUGAUUUCGUUGAGAAAUGACAAAGUUAUGGCAAUUUGAAAAACUGCCCGGAAAACGGCCGCCGGAAAAACCAGUCCGGCGACCCAAGGAAGAAGAAGGUGCUACAGUAAAAAUAAAAAAAAUAAAAAUAAAAUUAUUUUAAAAAUAUGUCGACGUCCGUGACGUCGAGUAGAUCACUGUGGUAUAUUCAUAUACCUAAAUUGAACACCGUAUGAGAAAGUUAUUAAGGAUUGUUGGUUAGGUGUUCAAAUAACGUUUUAUAGUUUUCACAUUAGGUGAAAAUGUGAAUUGAUGAUCCGACCGUUGGAUCAUCACCAAACUUUGAUACGUUGUAAUACGUAAUAUUUGAGGAUUAUAGGAACUUACAGAUUGGGAAUCCGAUUUGCGGAUCUUCCGAAAUUGGAGUUGUAAGUCCAUAAUAUAGAAUGUUAACCGUCACUUAGUUUUGGAAAUUGACGGAAAUCCAACCGUUUGAUAGUAAUGAAAUUUUAGGAUGUUAUCCUAGAGAUAUACUGUGGACCUCUGGAAGUUAUGGAUUUAAAAUCUGAGUGGCAGAUCUUCCGGAUCGAACUACGUAGUGACGUAUUUUAUAUAAGUUAAAUAUUAUAUCGAUAUGAAUUCUGAGGUUGGAUUUGAUUUCUAUUCUAGGCGGCGAUCGUCGUGACGCCUUGAUGUGUGGUGCUAGGGAGUUGUUGGAUGAACUCCAGGUGAGUGGGCAGUUUUGUUUUCCGUAUAUAUAUAUAUACUUAACGUUUUCCCAGAAAUUGAAAAUGCAUGAAAUUAUGUUUAAAAUGAAAUGCAUAUGAGUUAUGUGAGAAAAAACGGGAAGUGAAAUACCAUGCAUAGAAUUGAUAUGAAAAGUAUAUAGAAAUGUGAGUUGAAAUGCCAUGCAUGAAUUAAUAUAUGAUGCAUAUGUAUGAAUUGGUGCGGUGGACGCACAGGUAAGAAUUGAUUUAUGAUGCAUAUGUAUGAAUUGGUGCGGUGGACGCACAGGUAAGAAUUGAUUUAUGAUGCAUAUGUAUGAAAUGGUGCGGUGGACGCACAGAUGAGUAUUUAAUUACUGUUAUGAUGAUGAUGAUAUAUAUUGAGCUCAAAUCCUGCACCAUGGUUUAGUGCUUAUAGUAUUCACCGCAUCGCACGCUCGCCUUGGAUCCAAGUAGAUGCUAGUCGUACAGUCCACGCGGAGUGGGUACGACAGGCCAGUCGCGAGAGUGUUAGUGAGAUUCCGACUGGUGGGUGACCUUAGAUUAUGUGCACAGAUGAUUUAUGAGAAGCACUAGAGCGUAACUUGUGUGCAGAAGGCCGGACGGGUCACAGAGGUGACUCCGGUAGAGUGAUAAUGAUAGAUUUUGAGCUCUAGGUUCAACCGUAUAGGGCUAUUAGAGGGCCUACGGUUGAUUACUUUCUUGCACCUGAUAUGAUUAUGUUGAUGCAUUCAUACCUUAUUACUGUUGAGAUAAUGUGGCAUGGCAUAAUUAAUAUGAGAAAUGUUGAGAUGACAUGGCAUGGCAUGAUUGAUAAAGAGAUAAUGUUGAGAUAGUAAAAAUGAAGUUUUGAGAAUAUAUAUGUAUAUUUAUAUUUUACAUUUCUGGGAAAGUAUACAGGUUUUACGGAGAGGGGUUACAACGUUUUGAGAAAUGUUUGGAUUUGGAAAAGAAUUGUUUUACUGACCCACUCAAUUUUGGUUUUGCGCCCCUCCAGGUUCAGGAAUCACAAAGGUGUGGUGACUACGAGGAAUUCGACGGUGUUCUGACAGAUUGGACAAAAUUAGGACUCACCUUCGGGUGUAUCAACUUAUAAAUUGUAUAAUUAAAGCUUCCGUACUGUGCAAAUGGUUACGUCACUCUCACGUGACGGCCAGCAUGCCCUCCUUCGGGACGGGGUGUGUCAGUUGGUAUCAGAGCAUGGUUGCAAUCUUGGACAUCUUGAGAAGUUUCUAGUGAAUUCUGUCAGAACUACACCGCCUCGUAGCAAGCCACUUAGUUAGAGGAAUUUAGUCUCCCUAAUAUAGCGGUUUAGGGAAAACUAUUAUUAUGGUGAUUCAGUCUAUUAUAAAAAGGGACAUUUUAAGACGGAUUAUGAGUUGAAUUUGAAUCACUUAAGAGAAAUGAUGAACCUGAGGGAACAAAGUGACGGAUUAACCAAUUGGAAAAGAUGUUUCGGAAUAUGCAAGUCAAAGGAAUCUUCCUUCUGACAGGGGGUCGAGACGACUACCUGGUUUUGGGUAUGAAUUUGUAUCCUGGUGGAAACAGGAGUAUGAUGUGUUGUCACCGGAGGAACAGCCGAUUUAAAAUUGUUUAAGGACUUGUUUAAGGGAAAAGUUUAUCCCUCCGGCAUUUAUCGAUGGUAGUAAACAAGAGUUUACAAAUAUGAGACAAGGAAGGUGAUGAUCGAGGGAUAUUAUAGAAAGUUUUCAGACUUGCCUCGUUCCAUCCAGAUAUGGUUGUUAUUGGUGGAGGUGUUAUGUUGUUUUUAAGCUGGGUGGCAAAAAGGGAAGUGGUAUUUUUGGGUGACCACUAUCCAUUAUACUUCUUACCAGGAAUAUACGAGAUGCUGUUGAGUCUUGAGGACUCUGAGAACAUGAUCAACGAGAAUAAAGAAGAAUAAGAAAUGAAUGGGAAUUAAAAGAAGACGAUAAAGUUAAUGAUUCGUCUUAUCAAGGAUAUAGAAAGAUUCAGAGCUUCGAAAGAAGUGAAGCUAGAGUUAAUUCUUCCAGCUGAGGUUUUAAUGUCGCUGGUCAGAGUAAAAGUGAUGGAUAUACUAGUAAUCCCAGAUAUUUGAGACAAGGUGUCUCGAGUAAAGGAAAUGUACUUUGUGCAGCAGGUACAAAAUUAACACUUUGGGAAGUGUGAAAUUAAUGAAUGUGUUUAUGUGAACAGAGGGGACACAGAAUUGUGAAUCGUCCCUAGAAUCAGUUGUACUCAACAGUUUUCUAUGACAUCGUAGUGUCGAUUCAGCAAGUUUAUGAACUUAGUAGUUUGGUCGGAUUGACCGUGGGUACAGAGAGAUUUGAUGAGUUAUAUGUUCAGCCGUACAGACCAUGAGAGGUGGAUCUGGCUGACGCAUGAGAAAUUGGUGAGUUAUAGGCUCGGCCGUACCGACCACGCGGAGUGGAUCCGGCCGACGUAUUAUUGAGAUAAGAGUUGAAUCAACCGUAUUGGUCAUUCUAGUUGACUUCGGCUGAUAUAUUUCUUAUUAUGUAUGUUAUACCUAGAGAGUAGUAAAUAAAUGUAGUUGAGACGAGUGUAUGUAUUUUGCAUUGAGUGACAAAAUAGUAAUGUUAUAUCUUUGUGAGUGGUUGCCUACUUAUCGAGACAACGAUGAUUUAUCAGUAUUGCGGGCUGCAGACCGUAAUAUUAAUAACUCAUUCGUGGAUUCGUUAAGCAAGCAACCCGGUAGAUUAUUUUAUGUUAGUAUUGUACUUAUUUGGAAUGCUUAAUAAUAAUAGAAUAUAUAUUGUAUCAGUUAAUUCUGUUCCAUUAGAUUGGUUGGUUAUAAUUGUGACAAGACGAAAUGUUAUGGGAAACCAGUACUUUCCAUCGAUCUGGAUGAACAGAGAUUACUUUUGUAAGUAUGCAAAAUGGAUUGAGUCAGGCUGUUAUUUAUGCUGUGAGAGCAAAGAGAUUGUUUUCGAAAGGCUGUCAAAAAUACUUAGCUCAUGUGGUGCUAAAUGAUGUUGUUUGGAGUAGUGUGAAUAAUGUCGAAAGAGUUAGACUUUUCUUGAUGUCUUCCCUGAAAGUAUACCUGGAUUGCCUUCAGGCAGAGAUAUGAGGUUCACUAUUGAUUUGUUGCCAGGUAUAAAUUUAUGUUAAAGAUUGGUUCAUGAUGAGUUAAGGGAAUUAGAAAUUCAGUUGAGAGAAUUGGUUGAUAAAAGUUUUAUUCAACCAGUACAACACUCUUGAGGAGCACCAGUUUGUUGGUGAGAAAGAAAAUGGAUCUUGAGACUGUUCAUUGAUUAUAGACAAUGGAGUCGGGUAACGAUUGAGAACCGUUAUCCAUGGUGAUGUACUGAUGUUUAUUUAACCAGCUCAGAAGUAAUUGCGAAGAUUCAAAGAUUGAAUUGAGGUCUGGUUAUUACCAAUUAAAGAUUAUGAGCGACGUUGUUCUUAAGAUUGUUUUAUGAAUUAUGGUGAUGCUAUAUGGAUACUCAUGCUGUUUUAUGAGUUAUUGGAUGAAGUAUUCCAAUAAUGCCUUGAUAAAUAGAUAUCAUUUUCAUUGAAGAUAUUCUGGCAUAUUCUGAGCCAGAGCAGAGCAUGUAAAUGUAUUAAGUCGGUGGAACAAAGAUUGGAAGAAUGUCGGUUGUAUGCUAAGUAGCAAAUGCUAAAGUUAGAUGAAUCAGGUGGCAUUCUGAGAUUUGUUAUAUAUUCUUAAGGUAUUCAAGUGAAUCCUUAAAAGAUAGCAGAAAUUGAGGAAUUGGAACAACCACGAACUGUAAUUGAGAUUCGGAAUUUCUUAGCUUACCAGGCUAUCUUGGAUGGUUGUGAAAGAUUUUUCAGUCAUUGCUUUGUCAUUGACGAGACUGUUGAGAAAGGAGGUUAUGUAUGAGUGGGAAGGAAAUUGUGAGCAAAGGUUUCAACAACUGAAGUAUUUCCUCACUCAUGCACGUAUUUUGGUAUUCCCAAAGAAUAGUGGUAAUCAUAAAUUUUUAGUGAUGUUUCUUGAAUGGUAUUGGAGGCAUGUUGAUGCAAAUGUUAGGGUGAUUGCAUACGUUUCACGAUAAAUGGAAUCUCAUAAGAUGAAUUACCCUACGGGUGACUUGGAAGUCAUGAUUACCAUUCUUGCUGUGAAGUUAUGAAGGCAUUAUAUUUGGUAAGAAUGCAAGAUUUUUACGAAUCCAAAAAGUCUUCAAUAUCCAUUACUUGGAAGGAUUUUGAUAUGAGGCAGCGAAAGUGAAUUGUAUUGCUUAAUGAACAUGAUUGUACGAUCAGGGUGAUCGUAAAGUUUGUUCUAGCUCAAGCACUUGGUGAGAAGACUACAGUAAGAUUAAUGUCUGGCACGUUUGCCAAGAGUAUCAUCUUGUGGAUUGAAAACCAACGGAAGAAAAAUUAAGAAUGGAAGAUCGAGAAGAAGUUAUACUUGUUAAGUAACAAGUUAGUACAUUUACUCCAGUGUUGAGUAACAACCUUUCCCAGACAGUGCAACAUUACUUAUUUGUUUUAUGGAAAAGAGAAUUGGUUUACGGAACUGCUGAGUUUCUUAAGUAUGUUGGUUGUGCAGUUUCCGAAGUAACGCCAUAAGGAUCAUGAAAUGUGUCAUGUGAGUCGGUUUUUGAUGACUUGUGAAUGGAAUGUUUCUGGGUAGAGAAGGAUUCGAUCAAGAAAGAGUUUUAGUAGACCUUGAGACUAUGGAUGAGUUUCCUCAAAGUAUUCAGGUGAUUAAGUUAACCUGAAGUAACCAGGAAUGGCAAAAGAGAUCAACAGAUGGAUAUGCCACUAAUCGAGUGUGUAAGGUAAAUGGUUUGAUAUUUUUGGAAAAUUCACCGCGAACAGAAAUGACGAGAAUUGGAAAAGAGACAAGAUAAGAUUUAGACACAUCAGACCAUUUUUUUUUUCUCACUAAAGGAAUCAAUAAAGUUGCAUACAAGUUUGUGAUGCCUUCAGAAUUGGCUAAGGCACAUAAUGUAUUUUGUGUUCGAUGCGUUGUCACUAAGUGGCAGGGUCGUUACAUGGGACUUUGGUGCAACUAUUGAGAAUUAAGCCGGAUAUGAUUGGUGAGGAACUAAUGUCGACUUUGGAUUGGAAAAAGAAGGUCCUAAGAAUUAAGACAGAGUAAGUAGUAAAAGCUUUGUGAAGGAAAUCAUUCAGUAGAAAAUUGUGUGGGAGAAAGAGAAUCGGAUGAGAGAGAUUUAUCCGAGGCUAUUGUAUGAGUAUAGAUGAUUUGGUUGGUUGCUGGAAUUUCGGGGACGAAAUUCUAUAAGGAGGGGAGAUUGUCACAGCCCGCGCCGGAAUUUUUAAUUCCGAGGACAUGAAAUUACGGAAAUGUCCCUAAUACGUGACUAAGGUAUAAUUUUCACGUUCGUUAUAUCUAAGCUCCAAAAAAAUUUGGUAAUUGGAGUGGAGACUUAGACUUAAAUUUUAUGAUGGAAUUUUAUGAAAUUGGGAUUGGUUUGGACAUGUGGGAUCCCCACACCUCAAAACCCUCCCCAUUUCCCGUAUACUGUCCUUCAUACUCUCUCUCUUCCUCAGCUCUUCCUCAGAAACUCUCAUUCUCUCUCUUCUUCUCGAACGCACGGGCAACCACCAAAACCACCUAAAACCUAUACCAACGUUCCAUUUAAGACCACCAUCGUGAUCCUGGGGACUUCACGAGCACGGGGAUACCAAUUUCAGGUGAGUUUCACUUCGAAAACCCUAGUUCUAAAGUUGCCGUGAGAUGACACUGUUCAUGAGCUUUGAAUUGGUUACGUUUUAGGCUAAAACAAGAUCACAGCGAGUUUAGUAAGGUCCCAAGGAAGCUCGGAGUGCUUCGUUGGAAGUUUUUGGACGUAAGAACACGGAGAUCGACAAGUUCAAAGUUUGGCCGGAGCUUUCGAGGCGUUUUCCGGCGAAUCCCCGGAGAGUUAGGAGUCGAGGUAGGUGUCAAUCUCUUCGUCUCGUCAAGUACUACAACUUUCCUUUUUGUUUCACUCAAUUUCGUUGAGUAUUGAAGAAGUUAUACUCAUUUGAAAAAUACCCAGUUUCCGGCGACCUCCGAGGCUUUCGAGGCCGUUUCCGGCCAAACCACGGCGAACUAGGUGUUGUGCAAGGUACCAUUCUCUUUGUCUCUUCAAGGGCUACAACUUUCGUUUUUGAAUCACUUGAUUUCGUUGAGAAAUGACAAAGUUAUGGCAAUUUGAAAAACUGCCCGGAAAACGGCCGCCGGAAAAACCAGUCCGGCGACCCAAGGAAGAAGAAGGUGCUACAGUAAAAAUAAAAAAAUAAAAAUAAAAUUAUUUUAAAAAUAUGUCGACGUCCGUGACGUCGAGUAGAUCACUGUGGUAUAUUCAUAUACCUAAAUUGAACACCGUAUGAGAAAGUUAUUAAGGAUUGUUGGUUAGGUGUUCAAAUAACGUUUUAUAGUUUUCACAUUAGGUGAAAAUGUGAAUUGAUGAUCCGACCGUUGGAUCAUCACCAAACUUUGAUACGUUGUAAUACGUAAUAUUUGAGGAUUAUAGGAACUUACAGAUUGGGAAUCCGAUUUGCGGAUCUUCCGAAAUUGGAGUUGUAAGUCCAUAAUAUAGAAUGUUAACCGUCACUUAGUUUUGGAAAUUGACGGAAAUCCAACCGUUUGAUAGUAAUGAAAUUUUAGGAUGUUAUCCUAGAGAUAUACUGUGGACCUCUGGAAGUUAUGGAUUUAAAAUCUGAGUGGCAGAUCUUCCGGAUCGAACUACGUAGUGACGUAUUUUAUAUAAGUUAAAUAUUAUAUCGAUAUGAAUUCUGAGGUUGGAUUUGAUUUCUAUUCUAGGCGGCGAUCGUCGUGACGCCUUGAUGUGUGGUGCUAGGGAGUUGUUGGAUGAACUCCAGGUGAGUGGGCAGUUUUGUUUUCCGUAUAUAUAUAUAUACUUAACGUUUUCCCAGAAAUUGAAAAUGC
rnacentral:lncRNA from 1 species